rnacentral:lncRNA from 1 species
UGAUAGGGGUGAGCCUUGGACCCUAAUCCAUCCCUUUACACUGAGUGUGUGAACGCGACGGCCCAAUGGCCGCCCUCCUUGCUACAGUUCCUCUAACGUGUCGUCCACUUGCCCUGACGCUUCCUUACCUUGGUACACACGGUGCCGGAGCACCCCGCCUAAGUCCUUUGUAUGUCAAUCUCACAUUUUACCAUCUUACUUUGGUAAUCCUUAAUUUGUCAUCCCGAGCCCG